CCAUAUGAUUCAGUUACCUUGCC
rnacentral:siRNA from 1 species